GAGUUUGAUCUUGGCUCAGAUUGAACGCUGGCGGCAUGCCUUACACAUGCAAGUCGAACGGCAGCACGGGAGCUUGCUCCUGGUGGCGAGUGGCGAACGGGUGAGUAAUGCAUCGGAACGUAUCCUGGAGUGGGGGAUAACGUAGCGAAAGUUACGCUAAUACCGCAUAUUCUGUGAGCAGGAAAGCGGGGGACCUUCGGGCCUCGCGCUCUUGGAGCGGCCGAUGUCGGAUUAGCUAGUUGGUGAGGUAAAGGCUCACCAAGGCGACGAUCCGUAGCAGGUCUGAGAGGAUGAUCUGCCACACUGGAACUGAGACACGGUCCAGACUCCUACGGGAGGCAGCAGUGGGAAUUUUGGACAAUGGGGGCAACCCUGAUCCAGCCAUGCCGCGUGAGUGAAGAAGGCCUCGGUUGUAAGUACUCUUCGUCGAGGAGGAA
rnacentral:rRNA from 1 species